rnacentral:rRNA from 1 species
UGCCAGCAGCCGCGGUAAUACGGGGGGCGCAAGCGUUAAUCGGAAUUGCUGGGCGUAAAGCGCGCGUAGGCGGUUUGUUAAGUCAGAUGUGAAAGCCCUGGGCUCAACCUGGGAAUUGCGUUUGAAACUGCUGUGCUUGAGUCUCGGAGAGGUUGGCGGAAUUCCAGGUGUAGGAGUGAAAUCCGUAGAUAUCUGGAGGAACACCGGUGGCGAAGGCGGCCAACUGGACGAGUACUGACGCUGAGGUACGAAAGCGUGGGGAGCAAACAGGAUUAGAUA